UCCCUGGUGGUCCCGUGGCUAAGACUCCAUGCUUGCAAUGUGGGGGCCCAGGUUCGAUUCCUGGUCAGGGAA